AUUGAACGCUGGCGGCAUGCCUUACACAUGCAAGUCGAACGGCAGCACGGGAGCAAUCCUGGUGGCGAGUGGCGAACGGGUGAGUAAUAUAUCGGAACGUGCCCAGUCGUGGGGGAUAACGUAGCGAAAGCUACGCUAAUACCGCAUACGAUCUAUGGAUGAAAGCGGGGGAUCGCAAGACCUCGCGCGAUUGGAGCGGCCGAUAUCAGAUUAGGUAGUUGGUGAGGUAAAGGCUCACCAAGCCGACGAUCUGUAGCUGGUCUGAGAGGACGACCAGCCACACUGGGACUGAGACACGGCCCAGACUCCUACGGGAGGCAGCAGUGGGGAAUUUUGGACAAUGGGCGCAAGCCUGAUCCAGCAAUGCCGCGUGCAGGAUGAAGGCCUCGG
rnacentral:rRNA from 1 species